rnacentral:tRNA from 1 species
GCCCUCGUAGCUCAAAGGACAGAGUACUUGGCUUCGAACCAAGGGGUUGGGGGUUCGAGUCCCUCCGAGGGUA